AACAGUAAGAAAACAAACAACCCAAUUACAAAGUGGGCAAAAGACCUGAACAAACGCUUCACCAAAGAAGAUAUACAGAUAGCAAAUGGCAUCUCAACAGAUGUCCAACACCAUAUGCCAUUAGAGAAUUCCAAAUUACAACAAGAUAUCACUACACAUCUAUUAGAACGGUUAAAAUCCAAAACACUGAUAAUACCAAAUGCUGAUAAGAAUGUAGAACAAUCAAUCCAGCAUAAUUUAUUUAAAAGACCAUCCUUUUUCCACUGCAUCAUAGUAACACUGUUGUUGAAAAUCAGGUAACUAUAUAUCAGGACUAUUUCUGGAUUCAAUUCUAUCCUCUUGGUCUAUUUUUCCUGAUGCCAGUCACCCUUUUGGCUACAUUAAAAUAAACUUUAAAAAAGCUUUAAAAUAAACUUUGAUAGCUGUAAGCUAAUCUUCACAAUUCUCUUGGCUAUUCUUGAUCCUUUUAUUUCCAUGUAAAGAUCAGAAACAGCUUGCCAAUUUCCACACACACAGACAGAUAAACAAAAACAUGCUGAUAACUUGAUUGUAAGUGUUUUGAAUCUAUAGAUCAGUGUUAUCAAACCUUUUGAUCUUGCAACCCUUUUACAAUCUUAAAAAGUAUUUAGAACUCUAAAGAGCUUUUGUUUAUGUGGGUUUUAUCUAUUAAUGGUUACCAUAAUUAAAUGGAAGACUGAGAAAAUUUAAAAGACUUAUUAAAUUAUUUAAAAAUAACAAUAAACCCAUUACAUGUUAAAAUAUAUAGAUAAGUGAAAACAGCUGUAUUUUCUAAAACAAAAAAAUAAAGUGAGAAAAAGAACCUUGCUUUAUGUUUUUACAAUUUUUUUUAAAUGCCCAGCUUAAUGGAAGACAGUGGGAUUCUCUUAUUGCUUCUGUCUUUAAUCCACUGUGGUGUGUUGUUUUGAUUGUAGUACAUAAAGAAAAUCUGGGCUCAAGUAUAUGUAAUUGAAAAGGGAAAUGUUUUAAUAGUGUUUUUCAGAAAAUGGUGAAUAUUCUUCUAUAAUACUACAAUGAAACAUAAAAAGUGGUAGUUUCUUAAAUUUUAAUUGUAGUGUUUGAUACUUAAAAAAAUGGAUUUUAAGUCCCUGAUUUUUUUUUAAUUUUCUCAUCUAUGAUUUUUCAAAAUAUCAGUUUACAGCUACCUUAAAGUCAGUGUCUUAUAACUCCAAUAUCUGUAUCACCUAUGGUUCUAUUUUUAAUUGUCUAUUUUUUCUCUUUAUUUUUGUUUGGCACCAUUUCCUAGUAUACUUAGGAUUUUUUUUACUGAUUAUAAGAAAUUUAUUGUAAAAAUUGUAGAGUCUCUGAAUGAUGUAAGCUUUUCCAGAGAAGAUUUGAUUUUUUUUUUCCUGUAUGGCAGGUAAGAGUACAUGCAGAACACUUUAAUCUGGUUAAGGCUUUUAUAUUUCUGUAUUAUUCUUAAUCCUAGGAUAUAUCUUAUUCAGUGCUUUAAUUGAAAGCCUGAAGUGUUUACUAGUAUCUCUUUUACUUGGUGGUUCCUGAAUUCCAAUUUUUGUUUCCUUGGUACCAUGAGAUUGCCUAAAUAUCUGCUUAGCUUUUUAGCUUCUUAGCAGCUGCUUUCUGUCUAGUUUCUGCCAUCUUGCCCAAUAUGUGCUCAUUUCAGAAAUCAGGAAAUGCUUCAUAGGAAAAUUUGCAUGCUGAAUGUUGGGAUUUCUUCACUGUAACUCCCUUUUCUCCUGGAGCUGGAUUCUUAUAUUCUGGGCCUUAAUUUCUCUUCUAUGUGUAGAAAGUAUAUUAAAAGCAAGAAAAAAGUUUAUUACAGAAAGCAAAUAUGUCUUAUUAGGGAAUUUAUUAAUAUGAUUCAUCAAAAUGUUUUAAAAAUCAACAAUCCUUUCUUAGAAAACUCUAAAUGUUUUUCUUAGUAAACUAUAGCUUGAUGACUGCUUUAUCAACAGGACUUAAAAAAACUUAGUUAUCUAUCGAAGGGGUUGGCAAAUGUACGUGGGCCAGUCUCUUGUUUUUGUAAAUAAAGUUUUAUUGGAACACUGACAUGACAAUUUAUUUAUGACAUCUAUGGCAGUCUGAUGGUAGAGCCAUUUCUAUUAUUUCUCUAAGAAUAACACAGGCAGAGUAGCUGAGAGCUUAAGAAUUCAGGCUUUGAUCUGGAUUCAAAUCUGUGCUCUACCACUUUCUAUCUAUAUAAUGGGAAAUGUAUUUAAUAUUCCUAAGCUACCGUUUCUCAUAAAAUAAUAAUACUUUAUAGGGUUGUUGUGAGGAUUAUAUGAGAUAAUGUAUAUAAAAUCUUAGUUGUAAGUACAAUAAAUAGUAAUUUUUAUUAAUAUUAUUGCAAGUGAAUGGUACAGCCAAGAUUUUUUGGACUCAUUUAUCUUGGUAUCUUUAGGACUUAGAGUAGUAUAUAAUAUAGACUUCAACAGAGAGAGUUCUCACACAGCACAGAGAAAGUGAGUGAAAGAAUAUUUAGGAAGAAUUAAACAAUAAGGGUCUUCAUAGGCCUAGAGAAUAGCAAUAUUGACAACAUAUGUACCUAAAAGUAUGAAAGGAAAAUAUGCAGAGUUUGAUAUUUUUGUUGGUUUGCUUCAAAAAUACCAAUAAAUACAUUGCAAUGCAGUGAGACAUUUUUUAAUCUGAUGACAGUACAUGACUUCAAUUGGAUCAGAGAAAACUAAAUUGAAGGUUGAGCCUUGGAUGAGAGGGAAUGAAGGCCUGCUCCAGGGUGGCAAAGGGAACAAAAGAAAGGCAUAGAUUUCAGAGACAUCAUGAAGGAAGAUGCAGGCUCAACCAAGUAUCCUGAGUGUCUACUGUGGGUUAGGUGUCAUGCUAGGAGCCUGUAUCGUUUUCUCAUUGACUUGAAGGUGACAAACUGAGGCUUUGAGAGACUAAGUGAUUUGCUUAGUGUCACAGAAUAACAGAUUUAAUGUGGGGUUCUAAUUUCAAGGCCAGCUUUGAUUUUUAAAGAUACCUCAACUACCUCUCUUGGAGUCAAUGACAAAUUGGACAUGGAAGAAAGAUGAGGGGGGAAGCGAGAUAAUUGAGAGCAUAAUACCGUGAGAAAUCAAGAGGUAAACUUAUACCAGCAUGCAUAUGUAUAUGUAUACACACACACACACACACACACACACACACACACACACACACAGAGUCCCAUCCUCCCUGUUAUGGUCUAAAUGUUGGUGUCUCUCUCAAAUUCCUACGUUGGAACCUAGCCCCCAACGAACGUGAUAGUAUUAAGAAGUGGGUGUCCUUUGGGAAUACAGUUAUGAGGGCUCUGUCUUCUUGAAUGUGAUUGGUGCCUCUUACAAAAGUGGGUGAAGGGAGCUGCCUUGCCCCUACUGCCAUGUCAAGAUGAAACAACAAUGUAUCCUCUGUGAAGCAGAGAUUCCUCACCAGCCACUGAAUUUGCUGGUGCCUUGAUCUGGAUUUUCCAGCCUCUGGGACUGUGAGCAAUAAAUGGCUGUUACUUGUAAGUCUGUAAGUCAGCCUCCAACAUGAGCACCCAGUUUUCUCUGACCCUACUGAAAUUAUGUACUGUCAUCACAUUUAAAAACCAUUUCUCAUGCAUUGUAAUUUAUUUACUGAUAUUUUUGAGCACCCAGCCUAAGGUAUUUUAUUAUAGCAGUCUGAAUGGGCUAAGACACUCCCAAAUAUAUAACAAUACACACAGAUUCUCUAGUUAAUAUCCAUAAUCACACAGAAUCCACACAUUUCUUAUCUGACAGCAAUGUUGUGAAAUGAACUUGUGUAAUAUGCUUCCCAAUAAGAAUGAAAUACAAACAGAUAUAGUAAAGGUUUACGGCUAAUUUUUAUGGAACAAUUAUCAAAUCAUAGUACUGUGGUUACAUGCAUUAGGCCAUUGAAUCACAACCCUGUGAGAGUCUUAUGAGAUAGGUAUUCUCACUGAAUCCAUUUUACAAAAAAGGAAACCAAUGCACAGAAAGAUUGCCCAAUGUCAACUAUGGUGUAGAGCUGGCAUUGUCUUUCAGCUAGAAAUUGGAAAUUGGAAGCAUAAGUCUACUCCAUGUUCUGCUUUGCCCAAUUCCUAUUUUUAGGAUAUUUAGGUGCUACAUGGCAGGGUUUGUAAGCAACUUAGAUAAACGAACAUUAUCUUUCUGCAUUGAGGACCCAGUGACAAAAUGACAAUGUAUUAUGAUCUUUGUGUAUAUAUGAAAAGCAUAUCUUAGAACUUUGCCCAUAGCAAACAGAAUAAAUGCACUAUUUUCUCUGAAAGAAAAUGGGAAAUGUUGCUUCUAGCUAGUGUUCCCUCUUCCUAUUUCCUAGGUACAGUAUGCGUUUUAUAGUUGUUUACCUCUUUUUCUCUGUUAUUUAUCUUUCUUCCUGCAGGCUUACAUUUUUGGAAAAUGCCCAUCAAUUUUUACUACCAGUCCCAAAAUAAAGCUUCUCUUUUUAGCUCCUCCCCAGUCUUGAGCAUCUUCCUACUCCACUUUGGAAGCUGAAAACCUCACAGGCCAUGCUUUUAUGGAGGCCUGGACACCCCCAGUGUGGGCAAUGAAGCUCUUUAUAUAGAAGAUGGAAUUAUGGCUUGCGCUGCAAGCUAUUUGGCAUAUGAAGGUCUUGACCUGAGAAAACCAUCUUGGAUAACCACAGCAAGGAAAAGGAAAAAUGCAACACCUAGGAGAUUUCAGUAAACAGUAGAAUCAUGCCAACCUAAUCUGUGUUAAAAUGCUUGGAAUGUGGGAGCCGCUGAUGAUGCCUGUUGUCUGUGUGUCUGACUGAAUCCUUUCUUUUCUCAGAGCAGCAAAGCAAAGCCUGGGAACCAGGCCAAAUGCCUGCCACUUACCUUAAAUUGAUCAGCCACUUUGAGAUUAAAACCCCUGAAAGCUGCCACACCGUGAAAACAAGGCCUCCUUCACAUUAAAGGCAAAUUGCGACUUUGGGUUUGCUGUGAUCUUUUUUCCAUUUUAUCCAGUUUUUCACAGUGUACUUUUUUUCCCCCUUUCCAUUUAUGCUCCAAUAUAGAAGCCAAUAGUUACAGCAUCUUGGCCAAGCAUUCAUUAAGGUUUAUAAGAACAAAAUUUAUGGUUAUUUAGGAGUUGGCGCAAAGGCAGACUGUUGCUGGAAAAAGAAAAAGAAAUACAGGGGAAUGAGAAAGCUCUUUGCCCCAUCUUUGCAAUAUUUAUGAAGUUGCUCUGCAACGGACCUAUUUAAUUGUGCAUGGAUAUAAGUACUUCCUCCAAACUACACACUCUUAAAGCUCCACAAGGGCAAGG